rnacentral:rRNA from 1 species
UACGGAGGGGGCUAGCGUUGUUCGGAAUUACUGGGCGUAAAGCGCACGUAGGCGGCUUUGCAAGUUAGAGGUGAAAGCCCGGGGCUCAACUCCGGAAUUGCCUUUAAAACUGCAUCGCUAGAAUUGUGGAGAGGUAAGUGGAAUUCCUGGUGUAGCGGUGAAAUGCGUAGAGAUCAGGAAGAACAUCGGUGGCGAAGGCGCUCUGCUGGACCAUAACUGACACUCAGGGACGAAAGCUAGGGGAGCGAAUGGG